rnacentral:rRNA from 2 species
UACGUAGGCAGCAAGCGUUGUUCGGAAUUACUGGGCGUAAAGAGUACGUAGGUGGUUUGCCAAGUCCGAUGUGAAAUCUCCUGGCUUAACUGGGAGGGUGCGUUAGAUACUGGCAGGCUUGAGUGUGGGAGAGGAGAGCGGAAUUCCUGGUGUAGCGGUGAAAUGCGUAGAUAUCAGGAGGAACGCCUGUGGUGUAGACGGCUCUCUGGACCAUUACUGACACUGAGGUACGAAAGCGUGGGUAGCAAACAGG